CGCCCCAGGUGCAAGCACAGCUUUUUAACAUAACUAUUAAACUAGCCAAGUUGUCGUAAUAAUGCAAAGUAACUCACAAUGGCCUUCUCUGCUUCUCCCAUCUCCUAAAUCAGAAUCUUCAAUGAGGUAAUGAAGGAAAUAUACAGUCACAGAAGGUGAAGAUUGGUGUUGGCCUCUCACAUUUUGUUCUCUUAGAAAUGAGUUAUGAUUAAAAAAACUACUUCCAUCACAUGCAUUCUUCUCUUUAACCAUGAAAGAUGAAAAAGGUGGAUAACUUGCCUCGAUGCACAAUCACUUCCUGACAAUUUUGGAUUGCCCAGAAAGGAAGAAAUGGUGACUAUGAAUACACACUCGUACUCCAUAUUGCUUUCCACAGUGGCUGCACCAACCAACCUGCAUUCUCACCAACAGUGCAUGACAUUCAUACCUUAUCUCUCAGGUCUAUCAAGAUGCUCUGAAGCUAAAGGAAGAGGAUCUACCAAUACAGAGUGUGAUCUUUAAUGAGGAUUUCAGUUACUUGCACCACUGAUGGAGAUCUGGAAGAGCUGACUGGGAUUGGACAUCAUGCUGGAUGCGCACAGCCAGGACCUGCAUGCAGGUCGGUGUUCAUGACAACAAGACAACGAGACCGCCAACAGAAACUCAGAACUACAAACUUUAUAACUCUCAAGUAUUCCAAGCAGCAGGCAUUAAACAGAAAUAUUGCACCCAUGAAAAAGUAUAAUAGAAGGGUCUUUGGUUAUAUUUUGCUUGAUUCUUUGUUUUGUUGUUUAGGUUCCUGUUAAAGGUGAGAUCAUAUGGUAUUUGUCUUUCACUGCCUCAA